AUUGAACGCUGGCGGCAUGCCUUACACAUGCAAGUCGAGCGCGAAAGGGGGCAACCCCGAGUAGAGCGGCGGACGGGUGAGUAACGCAUCGGAACGUGCCCAGUAGUGGGGGACAACCUCGAGAAAUCGAGGCUAAUACCGCAUACGACCCACGGGUGAAAGCGGGGGACCGCAAGGCCUCGCGCUAUUGGAGCGGCCGAUGUCCGAUUAGCUAGUUGGCGGGGUAAGAGCCCACCAAGGCGACGAUCGGUAGCUGGUCUGAGAGGACGACCAGCCACACUGGGACUGAGACACGGCCCAGACUCCUACGGGAGGCAGCAGUGGGGAAUUUGGACAAUGGGGGCAACCCUGAUCCAGCCAUGCCGCGUGCGGGAAGAAGGCCU
rnacentral:rRNA from 1 species